UUGGACGUAUACUUAAUUUGCGUUCUAAUAUGCCUACUCACCUACUAUAUAGUAGGGAAAAAGAGUAUGUGAAGAAAGAAGUACGUUCGAAACCUUAAACCAUAAAACAGUAGGCGAGUAAUCCCCGGAUGUCCUACUGCUUCAGCGAAGAUUCUGAAGGGUUCAUCGAGGGAUACUUUUCAAUCCCAGAAUGCCACGCGAAAGGGAUAAAUCGUCAUCGAACGUGAAGGAGAGCAGCGCAGAGGGUGUUUACAAAGGGACAGAUGAGAUACACGUGUGUUUAUCUGCUGAAGAGAGACUGAUGAUGAAUGAUGCCAUCAAAGACUCUCAAUCUUUUGUGGUGGAGCAGGUGACAGCAGCAUCUGUGGAAAAAACCUGAAAGAAAAAUAUAAAGUAAGAUCAUUCUGUUACUUCUAAUACAGAAAUGAAGGGACACUGUGCUGUUAAAAUGACUGCUUUUGUUUUGUGUUUGUGCAUCUUUGCAGGAUCUGAAAUGUCUGCAGACAGCUGUGUGCUCUGAGGAUGGAGAAGACGGAGUGCCAUGGGUGAAGCGCUCCAUCUCUCCAGCUCUUACUGCUUCAUCUGAGCCGGAUGCUGAUGUGGUCUCUUCAUCCUCAGUGACUCCAGAGCAGAGAGAGCAUCUAGAGAAAAACCAGAAGACACUGAGGAUGUGAUUUUGGUCAAGUUUGUUCUGCUGGGUUCUGUUCAUACAACAUCAGUCAGUAAAACAAAUAGCAUCAACAUCAAAAUAUUUAGGUAGUAAAUAUUAAACCUGUAGCAGUCAGUCAUAUAUUUGAAGUUGUUAUAACGUCAUAGGUCACGUGAUAACGUAAACAUGGCGGAAUUCAUUCAUACUCAACGAGAUUUGGCUGUAGAGUACGUACUCUUUCAGCGCUCGUUAAGUAAGUACUUAUUGAAAUUUAGUACCUACUCGUUAAGUAUGCUGCUGAGUCCCAAUUCGCCUACGUAUACUACGACCUAAAAGUAUGUACUUUUUUUGUGAGGGAAAAGUACAUGCUUUUGAGUGUGUAGCAAAAGAGUAUGUACACUCUGGGACAUACUUCGAUGACAUCAUGCAACAUGAACGACAACGUGUUUGCCUAGUUACACACACCACAACUGUUAAAGUUGCAUUCAUUCUUUAUGUCCAAUAAAAUUUUAUUUACUAUUCCCA